rnacentral:rRNA from 1 species
ACACGAGUUGGCGGAUGCGUGGGACCUGAUCUGGUAGUAGCCAAGCGAUGGGGUGACGCAGGAAGGUAGCUGGGCCAGUCAGUGGUUGUACUGGUGUAAGAGUGUAGGCCGUGACAUAGGCAAAUCCGUGUCACAUUAAGGCUGAGACUUGAUGCAUACCCGUUGUGGGGAAUUCAGUGAUCCUAUGCUGCCGAGAAAAGCCUCUAGUGAGUUCAUACACGGCCCGUACCCCAAACCGACACAGGUGAUCAGGUAGAGAAUACCAAGGCGAUCGAGAGAACUGUGGUUAAGGAACUCGGCAAAAUGCCCCCGUAACUUCGGGAGAAGGGGGACCAUGCCCGGUGAACAUCUUCACGGUGGGAGCUGGGUGUGGUCGCAGAGACCAGAGAGAAGCGACUGUUUACUAAAAACACAGGUCCGUGCGAAGACGUAAGUCGAUGUAUACGGACUGACGCCUGCCCGGUGCUGGAAGGUUAAGAGGACCGGUUAGCCGUAAGGCGAAGCUGAGAAUUUAAGCCCCAGUAAACGGCGGUGGUAACUAUAACCAUCCUAAGGUAGCGAAAUUCCUUGUCGGGUAAGUUCCGACCUGCACGAAUGGCGUAACGACUUCUCUGCUGUCUCGACCACAGACUCGGCGAAAUUGCACUACGAGUAAAGAUGCUCGUUACGCGCGGCAGGACGAAAAGACCCCGGGACCUUUACUAUAGCUUGGUAUUGGCGUUCGAUUCGGUUUGUGUAGGAUAGGUGGGAGACUGUGAAGCAUGCACGCCAGUGUGUGUGGAGUCGUUGUUGAAAUACCACUCUGAUCGUAUUGGACGUCUAACCUCGGCCCAUGAUCUGGGUUAGGGACAGUGCCUGGUGGGUAGUUUAACUGGGGCGGUUGCCUCCUAAAGAGUAACGGAGGCGCCCAAAGGUUCCCUCAGCCUGGAUGGCAAUCAGGUGUUGAGUGCAAGUGCACAAGGGAGCUUGACUGUGAGACUGACACGUCGAGCAGGGACGAAAGUCGGGACUAGUGAUCCGGCACCGGCAAGUGGAAGCGGUGUCGCUCAACGGAUAAAAGGUACCCCGGGGAUAACAGGCUGAUCUUCCCCAAGAGUCCAUAUCGACGGGAUGGUUUGGCACCUCGAUGUCGGCUCGUCGCAUCCUGGGGCUGGAGUAGGUCCCAAGGGUUGGGCUGUUCGCCCAUUAAAGCGGCACGCGAGCUGGGUUUAGAACGUCGUGAGACAGUUCGGUCUCUAUCCGCCGCGCGCGUAAGAAACUUGAGGAAGGCUGUCCCUAGUACGAGAGGACCGGGACGGACGAACCUCUGGUGUGCCAGUUGUUCCACCAGGAGCAUGGCUGGUUAGCUACGUUCGGAAGGGAUAACCGCUGAAAGCAUCUAAGCGGGAAGCCUGUUCCAAGAUGAGGUUUCUCACCACCUUGCGUGGUUAAGGCCCCCUACAGACCAUGGGGUUGAUAGGCCGGAACUGUAAGCGCAGCAAUGCGUGGAGGUGACCGGUACUAAUAGGCCGAGGGCU